CAUGCCCCUGAAGGCAUUGCAGGUGUGGCUGCUGUGUCACAUGUGCGUCAGUAGGUGGCAGAGAGGAGAGAGGCUAUGUCUACACUCUGUUCUGACCUGUGUGAAGUAAUCUGAAUGAUUAGUAGCCUGGCAUU